rnacentral:lncRNA from 1 species
AUGGAACUGAUGGAUCGAAAGCCAUUGUUUCCUGGAAGAGAUCACGUGUAUCAGUUGGGUCUACUUAUGGAGUUGAUUGGCGCUGAUUUUGGAUUUCUGAAUGAAAAUGCUAAGAGGUACAUCAGGAAACUACCUCUUUAUCGCAGCCUCCUUCCCUUAGGCCGUCCACUCCACUCUGAUGAAGAAACCACGAUGUUUCACCACCGAAGCCUCCCGCUGCCAUCGUUUUUGCACGAACUACUGAGCAGAUCCUCGCCCUCGAUGUCACCAAAAACCCCAUCAAAAACCACUGAGAAUUUGACUCAUCGCCGGAGUUGGAGUUUGUUUGAUUUUUCUGGAGAUGUGAGAAGUUGA